GGUUAAGCGACUAAGCGUACACGGUGGAUGCCCUGGCAGUCAGAGGCGAUGAAGGGCGUGCUAAUCUGCGAUAAGCGCCGGUAAGGUGAUAUGAACCGUUAUAACCGGCGAUACCCGAAUGGGGAAACCCAGUGUGAUUCGUCACACUAUCAUUAACUGAAUCCAUAGGUUAAUGAGGCGAACCGGGGGAACUGAAACAUCUAAGUACCCCGAGGAAAAGAAAUCAACCGAGAUUCCCCCAGUAGCGGCGAGCGAACGGGGAGGAGCCCAGAGCCUGAAUCAGCAUGUGUGUUAGUGGAAGCGUCUGGAAAGGCGCGCGAUACAGGGUGACAGCCCCGUACACAAAAGCGCAUGUGCUGUGAGCUCGAUGAGUAGGGCGGGACACGUGGUAUCCUGUCUGAAUAUGGGGGGACCAUCCUCCAAGGCUAAAUACUCCUGACUGACCGAUAGUGAACCAGUACCGUGAGGGAAAGGCGAAAAGAACCCCGGCGAGGGGAGUGAAAAAGAACCUGAAACCGUGUACGUACAAGCAGUGGGAGCACAGGUUUACCUGUGUGACUGCGUACCUUUUGUAUAAUGGGUCAGCGACUUAUAUUCUGUAGCAAGGUUAACCGUAUAGGGGAGCCGGAGGGAAACCGAGUCUUAACCGGGCGUUAAGUUGCAGGGUAUAGACCCGAAACCCGGUGAUCUAGCCAUGGGCAGGUUGAAGGUUGGGUAACACUAACUGGAGGACCGAACCGACUAAUGUUGAAAAAUUAGCGGAUGACCUGUGGCUGGGGGUGAAAGGCCAAUCAAACCGGGAGAUAGCUGGUUCUCCCCGAAAGCUAUUUAGGUAGCGCCUCGUGAAUUCAUCUCCGGGGGUAGAGCACUGUUUCGGCUAGGGGGCCAUCCCGGCUUACCAACCCGAUGCAAACUGCGAAUACCGGAGAAUGUUAUCACGGGAGACACACGGCGGGUGCUAACGUCCGUCGUGAAGAGGGAAACAACCCAGACCGCCAGCUAAGGUCCCAAAGUCAUGGUUAAGUGGGAAACGAUGUGGGAAGGCCCAGACAGCCAGGAUGUUGGCUUAGAAGCAGCCAUCAUUUAAAGAAAGCGUAAUAGCUCACUGGUCGAGUCGGCCUGCGCGGAAGAUGUAACGGGGCUAAACCAUGCACCGAAGCUGCGGCAGCGAACGUAUCACUUAAAGCGAUUCAGCGGGUUACGAUUGACGGAGCGAAGCGACGUCAAAGCGUAUACAAAGUCGAGUCGGUUUAAGGAUACGUUCGUUGGGUAGGGGAGCGUUCUGUAAGCCUGUGAAGGUGUGUCGUGAGGCAU
rnacentral:rRNA from 1 species